UUCCAGGCUGAGACAGGCUAGGAGGACCUGAGCACCCACUUUUGAAAAAACUGGCCAUGAAAACCAUAUGACUAGCAGUGGAGCACAGUCUGAUACAGUGCCGGAAGGUGAGAGGAUGGCGCGAAAAGACCGGGCGGGGUUUCACUC